GAUGCUUAUGCCCGUUUUCACCAACAACCUCUUACCGUUUCCCUAUCUAAAAGCUACUUUUAAUAAGGACCCCUCCCAAUUUGACACCUACCUAAAUUCAUUUUCACCACACUUGUACAUGGAUCCCUUAAGUAAGUGACAGAUUACUAGUUCUACAAACGAUAAUGCAAAGUCGAUAUUUUAUCGAUAAAAUGAUUUUUCUCUACUUCUUAAGAAAUAAACGUCUAUCGAGUAUAUAUUACUAAAGCCUGUGAGUUUUUUUCCUUGUGAUGUUAUUUUAAUUUAACUUAAACUACAUUACGCUAUGUUUUAUGCAAUAAAACAGUAAAGAGGUUUUCUAUAGGUGAAUUUUUACCUAUGUCAUUCGCGCGUUUGUCAAAUUGACUGAUGUGUAUGUGUACAUAGAGUGAGGUUAAUUUUGGGUUUAUUAUUGUUGAAUAGAUAAGUUUAUUUUGGCAGAGAAGAGAAAACGAGGAUAAACCUUUCUUGCAGAAGAAAAAGACAAGCUAGUGAAAUUGCUGACGUCUCAUAGAGACACAAUAUUAAACAAAAAACGGAUGGGACCACGAACGAAGCCAAAAACAAAGCUUGGAUCCAGUUACAAAUAGUUUUAAUGCGAUAGGAACCGUUUACAGUUUCAGGUGGUGCGAGAAAUUGGAAAGACGUGUAAAAACAUGCUGCGCCCAGCCCACCUCAAAUUGAAUUGGUGCAGGAGGAUGAUGAUAAUGUUUGGUACAUCAUAUGAGGACUAAUAUUAAAAUAUUUGUUUAC
rnacentral:lncRNA from 1 species